UACAUCCCACCUCGACUUCACACAACAUCACAUUUCUUCUCAAGAGAUUGUCACACGUCGGAAUUCUGUUCUUCAAAAUUCUCCAUGCGGUAAGCUUGACUUUGUUUGGAAUAGGGAUCUUCCACACCUUCGUACUCAUAUCAGUUUCCUCCACCGCCUCCGUAGUCUCGUUUGCUUGAUCUUUAAUAGCUUCAUAAGCGGACUUGGUUGUAAAGCCUCUCCCGAUGUCGCCACUCCAUGUCCA
rnacentral:lncRNA from 1 species